rnacentral:rRNA from 1 species
GCCGAACGCUGGCGGCGUGCUUAACACAUGCAAGUCGUACGGUUAAAGCGGAGCUUGCUCCGCUGGAUCAGUGGCUAACGGGUGAGUAACACGUGGGCAACCUGCCCUUCACUUCGGGAUACCCCCGGGAAACCGGGGCUAAUACUGGAUAUGACCUCCUUGGGUCUCCUUUGAGGUGGCAAGUUUUUCGGAGAGGGUUGGGCACGCGGCCUAUCAGCUUGUUGGUGAAGUAGUGGCUCACCAAGGCGACGACGGGUAGCCGGCCUGAGAGGGCGACCGGCCACACUGGGACUGAGACACGGCCCAGACUCCUACGGGAGGCAGCAGUGGGGAAUAUUGCGCAAUGGGCGAAAGCCUGACGCAGCAACGCCGCGUGCGGGAUGACGGCCUUCGGGUUGUAAACCGCUUUCAGCAGGGAAGAAGCCGCAAGGUGACGGUACCUGCAGAAGGAGCACCGGCUAACUACGUGCCAGCCGCCGCCGUAA